UACGAGGGGAGCAAGCGUUGUUCGGAUUUACUGGGCGUAAAGGGCGCGUAGGCGGACUUAUAAGUCAGUGGUGAAAGCCGAUAGCUUAACUAUCGAAUUGCCAUUGAUACUGUAGGUCUAGAGUACAGAUGAUGUUGGCGGAAUAUGUCAUGUAGCGGUGAAAUGCUUAGAUAUGACAUAGAACACCAAUUGCGAAGGCAGCUUACUACAGGGAUAUUGACACUGAGGCACGAAAGCGUGGGGAUCAAACAGG
rnacentral:rRNA from 1 species